rnacentral:rRNA from 2 species
AGGAAAAGAAACCAACAGGGAUUGCCCUAGUAACGGCGAGUGAAGCGGCAACAGCUCAAAUUUGAAAUCUGGCGCAAGCCCGAGUUGUAAUUUGUAGAGGAUGCUUCUAGGUAGCGACCGGUCUAAGUUCCUUGGAACAGGACGUCAUAGAGGGUGAGAAUCCCGUAUGUGACUGGCCCGCACCUUCUACGUAGCUCCUUCGACGAGUCGAGUUGUUUGGGAAUGCAGCUCUAAAUGGGAGGUAAAUUUCUUCUAAAGCUAAAUACCGGCCAGAGACCGAUAGCGCACAAGUAGAGUGAUCGAAAGAUGAAAAGCACUUUGGAAAGAGAGUUAAAAAGCACGUGAAAUUGUUGAAAGGGAAGCGCUCACAACCAGACUUCUAGGCAGUGUUCCGCCGGUCUUUUGACCGGUCUACUCUCUGUCUCGAGGCCAACAUCAUCUGGGACCGCUGGAUAAGACCUUAGGAAUGUAGCUCCCCUCGGGGAGUGUUAUAGCCUCUGGUGAUGCAGCGAGUCUCGGGUGAGGUCCGCGCUUCGGCAAGGAUGUUGGCGUAAUGGUUGUCAGCGGCCCGUCUUGAAACACGGACCAAGGAGUCUAACAUCUAUGCGAGUGUUCGGGUGUCAAACCCCUACGCGUAAUGAAAGUGAACGGAGGUGGGAAGCGUAAGCUGCACCAUCGACCGAUCCUGAUGUCCUCGGAUGGAUUUGAGUAAGAGCAUAGCUGUUGGGACCCGAAAGAUGGUGAACUAUGCCUGAAUAGGGUGAAGCCAGAGGAAACUCUGGUGGAGGCUCGCAGCGGUUCUGACGUGCAAAUCGAUCGUCAAAUUUGGGUAUAGGGGCGAAA